AUUGAACGCUGGCGGCGUGCCUAAUACAUGCAAGUAGGACGCAGUUGCGAACGGGUGAGUAACGCGUAGGUAACUGCCUAUCAGAGGGGGAUAACUAUUGGAAACGAUAGCUAAUACCGCAUACUAGUAGAUGGACCUGCGUUGUAGUUGCUAGUAGGUGGGGUAAUGGCCUACCUAGGCGACGAUACAUAGCCGACCUGACAAGGUGGUCCGCCACACUGGGACUGAGGACCGGCCCAGACCCCUACGGGGAGCAACAGUAGGGGAUCUUCGGCAAUGGGGUGAAACCUUACCGCGGCACGCCGCGGGAGUGAAGGAAGUUUUCGGGUCGUAAAACUCUGUUUUGAAGGAAGCGGUACUUACCCAGAAAGGGACGGCUAACUACGUGCCAGCAGCCGCGGUAAUAC
rnacentral:rRNA from 1 species